GAUGAAUGAUGGCGGGGGGAAGAAUACAGGCAAGUCGAGCGAACAGACGAGGAGCUUGCUCCUCUGACGUUAGCGGCGGACGGGUGAGUAACACGUGGAUAACCUACCUAUAAGACUGGGAUAAAUUCGGGAAACCGGAGCUAAUACCGGAUAAUAUAUUGAACCGCAUGGUUCAAUAGUGAAAGACGGUUUUGCUGUCACUUAUAGAUGGAUCCGCGCCGCAUUAGCUAGUUGGUAAGGUAACGGCUUACCAAGGCAACGAUGCGUAGCCGACCUGAGAGGGUGAUCGGCCACACUGGAACUGAGACACGGUCCAGACUCCUACGGGAGGCAGCAGUAGGGAAUCUUCCGCAAUGGGCGAAAGCCUGACGGAGCAACGCCGCGUGAGUGAUGAAGGUCUUCGGAUCGUAAAGCUCUGUUAUUAGGGAAGAACAAAUGUGUAAGUAACUAUGCACGUCUUGACGGUACCUAAUCAGAAAGCCACGGCUACCUACGUG
rnacentral:rRNA from 1 species